rnacentral:misc_RNA from 1 species
GUCUGAGGCCCAUAUUGUUGUUUCCUUCAGCCUUCAUGCUAUGCUGCAAGCCCAUCUGUCCAUUGCCCAAGAGGCCAAGACCAAAGACCAAGAGACCAUCAAACCAAGACACGCUUAAUUAUAAUUCUCCUUUCAGUCUUCCACUCCCAAUCCAUGUUACUCCUCCUCCUUCUCCUCCUCUUUGACUUUGUGCUGAGUAAUUGGAAUUGGUUUUCUUCAUUUGGAGAUCCAGAUUGUGCCCCCAAGCAAUUUGGGACGCAACACUCUCUUCCACCUUCUCUUUGAUUUUGUGCCAAGAGAUUGGAAUUGGUUUGCUUCAUUUGGCAAUCCAGAUUGCAUCCCCUAGUGAUUUAGGACGCAAACAUCCUCCUCUUUGAUUUUGCGCCAAGCAAUUGGAAUUGGUUUGCUUCAUUUGGCAAUCCAGAUUGCAUCCCCUAGUGAUUUAGGACGCAAACAUCCUCCUCUUUGAUUUUGCGCCAAGCA